UAAAUCAAAAAGUAUUAUGCAUAAAAAUAAAUAAAAAUAUGUUUUAGAAUGUGUUACGCAGGCGAAGCCAGCGGCUGAUACAUAGUGAGCCAGCGCAACAUGCAUUCUCAUUCCCACGUACGAAUACGACCCGUAUAGCUGACGCGGCGUAAUACCAGAACCCGCGCGAUGUGGGAAUCGUAAUAUUAAGUUAGAAUAUUCUCAUCCUUAGAGAUAAGCACUAGUUUUUAGUCUUUUCAUUUAAAUGUAACUUUGAAUAUAAUUAUUAUAAGGAUAUUAUC